rnacentral:rRNA from 1 species
UACGAAGGGUGCAAACGUUGCUCGGAAUUAUUGGGCGUAAAGCGCACGUAGGCGGCUUAGCAAGUCGGAUGUGAAAGCCCUCGGCUCAACCAAGGAAGUGCAUCCGAAACUGCUGAGCUUGAGUACUUAAGAGGAUCGCGGAAUUCCCGGUGUAGAGGUGAAAUUCGUAGAUAUUCGGAAGAACACCAGUUGCGAAGGCGGCUCACUGGUCCGGUACUGACGCUGAGGUGCGAAAGCGUGGGGAGCAAACAGG